rnacentral:rRNA from 1 species
UACGAAGGGGCUAGCGUUGCUCGGAAUCACUGGGCGUAAAGCGCACGUAGGCGGCUUGUUAAGUCAGGGGUGAAAUCCUGGAGCUCAACUCCAGAACUGCCUUUGAUACUGGCGAGCUUGAGUCCGGGAGAGGUGAGUGGAACUGCGAGUGUAGAGGUGAAAUUCGUAGAUAUUCGCAAGAACACCAGUGGCGAAGGCGGCCCACUGGAUCGGUACUGACGCUGAGGUGGCGAAAGCGUGGGGAGCAAACAGG